UGAACGCUGGCGGUAUGCCUUACACAUGCAAGUCGUACGAGAGUUUUUAACUCAAGUGGCGGACGGGUGAGUAACACGUAAGAAUUUGCCUUUAGGAGGGGGAUAACAACUGGAAACGGUUGCUAAUACCCCAUAUGCUUUCGAGUGAAAUGAAUUUAUUCGCCUAGAGAGAAGCUUGCGGCUGAUUAGCUUGUUGGUGAGGUAAUGGCUCACCAAGGCGACGAUCAGUAUCUGGUUUGAGAGGAUGAUCAGACACACUGGAACUGAGACACGGUCCAGACUCCUACGGGAGGCAGCAGUGGGGAAUUUUCCGCAAUGGGCGAAAGCCUGACGGAGCAAUACCGCGUGAGGGAUGACGGCCUAUGGGUUGUAAACCUCUUUUUUCAGGGAGGAAUCAAUGACGUGUACCUGAAGAAUAAGCAUCGGCUAACUCC
rnacentral:rRNA from 1 species